rnacentral:lncRNA from 1 species
GGAAGCAGCUUCCGGCUUCUGCGGUGCGGGCGGAGGUGGCGGGGUCCGGCCCUCGCCGUCCAGUCCGCGCGAGGCGGUGCCCGCCCCUAGAUGGCCAGAUCUCGGCGGCCGGUGGCCGGUGACGCCUUGCCGCGGCCGCUGCCGCACUCGCGGAGGCUGGCCGGCGCCGGGUGCGCAUAGGCCGGCGGGGCGCACGGCUCGGGGCCGGGGCGCCGGGAGGGCAGGGCCGGUGGCGGAGGUGGCGGCGGCGGCGGCGGGAGCAGCUUCUGCGCCUCUUCGUGUGCACGGUUGCAGCGGUUGUCACGCUCCCCGGCGCGCGGGCGGCCCUUCCAGAGCAGGUGGCCCAGCUCGGCUACGCUGAGCAGCGCCGACAGCAGCCCCACCGCGAAAUAGAAGAGCACGAAGACGGUCUUCUCGGUGGGCCGGCUCACGAAGCAGUCGACCGUGUGCGGGCAGGGCGGACCGGCGCACGCGAAGUGCGGGGCCACGCGGAAGCCGUAGAGCAGCGCCUGGCCGCCCAGGAAGGUCAGCUCGGCCAGCAGGCGCAGCGCCACGCUCAGCAGGUAGCAGCGGCGCGCGCGGCGGGCGCGCAGGGCGCACGGCGCGCACUGGGCCUCGGGCAGUCCGGGGGCGCACUGCGCCGCCGCCUCAGCGCCGCCCGCCUCCUUGCCUGCCCGGUGCAUGGAGUAGACGACGAACAGCACCGGGGGCGCCGAGAGCAGCAGGAUGUGGAAGAGCCAGAAGCGGUAGUGGGAGACCGGGAAGGCGCGGUCGUAGCAGGUCUGGCGACAGCCCGGCUGCAGCGUGUUGCACACGAACUCCUCUUGCUCGUCCUCGAACACGGCGCCGCCCACCGUGGCCAGCACCAGGAUGCGGAAGAUCAGCAUGACCACCAGCCAGAGGCGGCCCACGAGCGGCGACUGCAGCUGCACGGCGUCCAGCAGCGAGCCCAGGAACGCCCACUCCCCCAUGGCGCUGGGGACGCGGGGCGGGGAGUCAGGGGAUGGGGCAAGUCAGGGACCCCUGCCCCUUCCAAGCCUAUCGGGGUGGGGUCCGUUGGACCUUCUCUGACUUCAGGGUGAGUCGUGAGGUAGGAGAGGCCCGGGUUUAGCGAUGAGACCAGUAUGAAACGGAGGGCCACGGGAGGGCCCGAGGGGAGCAGGCGACGCUCAGCUAUGGGUUACCUUCUCUUUGGGACCGAUGGGUGCUGGGGAGGAUCCCCCAUUUGCAUUUUAGCCGCACCCCCUGAGCCGUCUCCGUUCGACCCUGGGAUCCUCCAGAUCCCAGAUUCUUAGGAAGGACCUUGGAGAUCAGCUGGACCAGCCCCUGACUUGCCUGGUUUCGGAAGCGGAAACCCAGCGGUGCCCUUAGCUGUCAAGGAUGCUGUGGGAAGAGUGGAGCCUCGAACCCGAGACGCUAGACCCAAUUUGGUGCCCAUGGGAGGAGUGGGAGUGGCAGAGGCAGCGAGACCACUCCUUUCUUGGCCCACCAUUUCUCUCACCAUUUUUACUGCAGUGAACUCCUCUCAGGGUGGGGGGCUGGUACAGAGGCAACUCCGCUUUCAUAACUCUCACAGGGUCCUUUGUCGGAGGUGUCCCUGCCCUCCUACCCCAGCGUGGUGGGAGUGCGACGCCAGGCUUCUCCCUCCUCCCUGGCCUCCUGUGCCUCCAGCCUCCACAUCUCCUGAGAUCCUCCCCACCCCACACUUACACAGGUCCCCACACGCCCCUGGUGCCCCUAAACCGCCACCCAACCCCACUCACCCUGGGGCCGGGACUGGGGUGUCAGAGCUGAGCCAGGGACCUUGGGAGGUGGCUGGGACCGGCGCCUCCUGCUCCCUCUUUCAUUUUCCCUUUCGGAUUUGGCCAGGAUGGAGGACAGGACAGGAUGGCUGAGAGGGGCUAGCGCUCCCCCUUCUCUUAAAGGAACAGGGUGACCCUGCUGGCUGGCUCCGCCCUUGGGAACAGGCACGGACCACGCCCCUUGCUGGGCUCUGUGGCCCUCACUCUUUAGCUAAAUUUCCAUCUGGAAAUGGGGGAGGGGGGUAACCAGAGCCACAUCCUUUAUCGAGGAAGCUGGGGGAUUCCUAGAAGCCCUUCCCAGACAGACCCUCAGUCUGGAGCCUAGAUCCACUACGCACUAACCAUGCCCUGUGAAGAUGGUCUUCGGGGACAGAGGGAGGUUUGGUGCUGGAGUUUAAGGGGCAGCAAACAUCUAACAGCUUCUGGUUCCAGCUCUGCCACCGCUCACCUUGGACAAAUCAUUCGGCGGUACUGAGCCAGGCUUUCCUGCCUUGUCAACAAAGGCGGCCAGUCCAGCUGACCCCCAAGUUUCCUUCCAGCUUUACAUCUUUUUUGGAACGGGGUCUCUCUACAUAGCCCAGGUCGAUCUUGAACUCCUGGCUUCAAGUGAUCCUCACACCUUAGCCUCCUGAGUAGCUGGGAUUCUCUACUUCUUAAUAUUGAAUUCCCAACCAUAUUACAGAGAACCAAAAAAACCCUUGUGCCUGCAAAAAAAAAAAAAAAAAAAAAAAUCCCAUAUGGAAAACCAUUAAAAUAUCCCAAGUGCCUGGCUUUGAUAGUUAAAUAAAA